GACGAACCGUGCAAACGUUGUUCGGAAUCACUGGGCUUAAAGGGCGCGUAGGCGGUUUGCCAAGUCAGGGGUGAAAUCCUGCAGCUCAACUGUAGAAGUGCCUUUGAUACUGGCGAACUUGAGGGAGGUAGGGGUGGGUGGAACUUCUGGUGGAGCGGUGAAAUGCGUUGAUAUCAGAAGGAACGCCGGUGGCGAAAGCGACCCACUGGAUCUCUACUGACGCUGAGGCGCGAAAGCUAGGGGAGCAAACGGG
rnacentral:rRNA from 1 species